GGACAUCCAGCGAGUUGCUCUCCUGGCUCUGUCCUGGUGGCGUAUGGGAGCGUAGCUCUGAGCCAAGACGUACAGUCCCGUUCCAN
ensembl:snoRNA SNORA73 Small nucleolar RNA SNORA73 family